GCCGGCCCUAGACGUAACUGUUUAUCUGAACGAUAUAACUGAUCAGAUAAAUCGUUAAGAUAAAACUGACGUGUAGGGGGAAAUUUGCGCAGAUUUUGAUCGUUUCAGAUGAACUGAUCGAGCGGCAUGAACAGUUGAAUCAUUCAAACUUUUUAUCUGAACGAUCUAAUGAUUGUUUUCCUUUCAGAUGAAAAUCUCACGUGUAGGGGGGAAAACUGUACAGAUUAUCAGUCUAUUUGUGACUUAAAUAAAGUGUGCACGCCUUUUCCAGCUUUUCACAAAUACUUCAUUAUGAAUCGCAAAACAUUGGAGGAGUUUAUUGAAAUUUACCAAACCGAAGAGUGUUUAUGGAAAGUUAAGUGCAAAGAGUAUCAUAACCGUGACAAAAGAAACGCAGCAUAUGGAAAAUUAAUUCAAAAGUUAAGAGAAACAACACCUGAUGCUGACCGUGAUAUGGUUGUCAAAAAAAUCAAUAACUUACGCACCACAUAUAGAAAAGAGUUGAAGAAAGUGCAGGCUUCCAAGAAAUCUGGAGCAGGAGCAUAUGAUGUUUAUGUUCCAAAACUGUGGUAUUUUGAAAAUCUUGCCUUUCUACACGAUCAAGAAACACCACGAGAAGGUCUUACUAAUAUUGAGGAAAAUGAAAGUGAGAAUUCAUGCCAUGAUGUUGAGCCUGUGCCUGUGUCCAGCCCCUCAUCUGAUGUAAAUGAACUAGAAGUUGCUACUGAAGGAAAUUCUAUGCUUGACAUCAGCUACCCAUUACAUGUCAGCCGGUCGUCAACUCCUUUACCAACAAAUAGUACAACAACUAAUGUGGCACCGUCCAGACCUACCCAAAAGAAAUGUAGAACGGCCAUGAGUGAUGAUGUGCUGAUGACUAUCAAUGAACACUUUAAAAAACCAAGGGAGCAAAAAAUAGAAGAUAAGCAUGACGUAUUUGGGAAGAAUGUUGCACACAAGUUACGUGGAUUGGACAAUUUACAGAGGAUAAUGGCUGAAAAAAUCAUAAAUGAUGCUCUGUUCGAAGCAGAAAUGGGAAAUCUUACCCAUCAUCAUAAACUUUUGCCUGUACCAGUAACAAACACGCAGUUUCCAAUUCAGCACAACGUAUUUCCGCAACCCUCUGCCACACCCAGAACAGUACCUCACACCAUGCCUCACACAAGCCUUCACUUGCCCUCACUUUCUUCGACAAUGGACCCUUUAGCUCAGGCAAUUAGUGUAUUGAACGAAAUCCCUUAGUUAUUAUAUUAGUGAUACAUAAUUAUUGGAAACUGGCAUACAAGUAUUCUGUUUGAUAUUUGUUUUGGAUAAUUGUAUUAUGUAUUUCUGGUACAAAAAUACCGUACACGUACAUAAAGGAUAGAAAAAUACUGGUUACGUUCUAUUUUUUGUUACCAUUGUUGUGAUUGUGUUAUGUACCAACAUAUUUCUCAUACUUAUUAAAUACUUACCUUCAAA